rnacentral:rRNA from 1 species
CCUACGGGAGGCAGCAGUGAGGAAUAUUGGUCAAUGGGCUUACACCUGAACCAGCCAAGUCGCGUGAGGGAAGACUGCCCUAUGGGUUGUAAACCUCUUUUGUCAGGGAGCAACGCCGGCUACGUGUAGCCGGACUGAGAGUACCUGAAGAAAAAGCAUCGGCUAACUCCGUGCCAGCAGCCGCGGUAAUACGGAGGAUGCGAGCGUUAUCCGGAUUUAUUGGGUUUAAAGGGAGCGUAGGUGGAUUGUUAAGUCAGUUGUGAAAGUUUGCGGCUCAACCGUAAAAUUGCAGUUGAAACUGGCAGUCUUGAGUACAGUAGAGGUGGGCGGAAUUCGUGGUGUAGCGGUGAAAUGCUUAGAUAUCACGAAGAACUCCGAUUGCGAAGGCAGCUCACUGGACUGCAACUGACACUGAGGCUCGAAAGUGUGGGUAUCAAACAGGAUUAGAUACCCCUGUAGUC